ACAACGCCACGUACCAUAGUUCCUGCCACGUACUGUCAUAUCGAUAAUGCAUUUUGGAGUCGUUCCCAACAUACAGUCUUUGUGGCCAAACAGGUGAUGACGCUGCUGGUAGUGUCGGUCCGUGAUUGGAUACUAGGGCGUGUACACUCGCCCACAACCUGUUAACGCUAGAAAGGUCUGCCUAUGACGGGGAUGGUGACAAGUAUUUAAAAGACAACAGGGUGGGGAUCUCUCUUUCAUUACCAACACUGUGCACGUGGGGCUAUAACACACUCGGGGAUCUCUUUCUGGAACUUUCUUCUGGCUUCAACUACGUCAAAACUUUCUCCAUAAACAAGUCAUGAUGCAUGGACAAAUAGUGCUGCCUGUGAUAGUCUGCCUGGUAUCGAUGUUCGGCUCUUAUACGGACGCAAAGGACGACUCCGGUGAGGUACCAAUUUCCGGUGGCAACCUUCUUCGUGAAAUCUUGGAAAGUCGGGACUUUACAGAUGUCGAAAAAGAAAUACUGAAAUACAUUAUAUUCUCUGAUGUCAAAGAUUUUGUUGAAAGAAAGGCAGCAUCUGCGGAAAGCCAAGAAGAAUCUUACAGUGGUGUUGAAAGAAAACGCAGUCAUCUUUGGCCCUACCGUCAAAACAACAUUCCUAUUCAGACCAGAGUAGCAUUUGGACGGCAGCUGAUGAGAACCUCGAAUGGCCAUGGUUCCAAUUAAAACCUCCUCAGAUACGGGAAAUAAGCUAGAACGUUUUAAAUAGCAAGGUUAAAACAAAAUUAUAUUAUCGGGACAAAUUAUCAGAUUUCUGUUCAAAAACAUUUCUUUGUAGUAACCAUCAAAUGUUGGAGUCUGAGAAUAUGUUAUAGCGACAUAUUGUAAACUUUACAUGGAGUCUAUUGCUACUUCGGAAAUCAUCGACGAUUAUGUAUACACAUAUAUCACGUCAGUUAAGUGACUUUAUUUUUGUAGACAUGGACAUUAAUUCUGUUGAUAAUCCCAAUUUUUUAACUGAUAAAAAAAUCGCACGUGCUUGGUUCCAUCAGAAUGAAAUAAAGAUUUAUAUUGCUAUC